AGUGAACGCUGGCGGUAGGCCUAACACAUGCAAGUCGAACGGCAGCACAGUAUGAGCUUGCUCUUACGGGUGGCGAGUGGCGGACGGGUGAGGAAUACAUCGGAAUCUACUUUUUCGUGGGGGAUAACGUAGGGAAACUUACGCUAAUACCGCAUACGACCUACGGGUGAAAGCAGGAGAUCUUCGGACCUUGCGCGAUUGAAUGAGCCGAUGUCGGAUUAGCUAGUUGGCGGGGUAAAGGCCCACCAAGGCGACGAUCCGUAGCUGGUCUGAGAGGAUGAUCAGCCACACUGGAACUGAGACACGGUCCAGACUCCUACGGGAGGCAGCAGUGGGGAAUAUUGGACAAUGGGCGCAAGCCUGAUCCAGCCAUACCGCGUGGGUGAAGAAGGCCUUCGGGUUGUAAAGCCCUUUUGUUGGGAAAGAAAAGCAGCAGGUUAAUACCCCGCUGUUCUGACAGUACCCAAAGAAUAAGCACCGGCUAACUUCGUG
rnacentral:rRNA from 1 species